GUUAUAUGGUCAAGUGAAGAAGCGCAUACGGUGGAUGCCUUGGCAGUCAGAGGCGAUGAAAGACGUGGUAGCCUGCGAAAAGCUUCGGGGAGUCGGCAAACAGACUGUGAUCCGGAGGUAUCUGAAUGGGGGAACCCAGCCAUCAUAAGAUGGUUAUCUUGUACUGAAUACAUAGGUGCAAGAGGCGAACCAGGGGAACUGAAACAUCUAAGUACCCUGAGGAAAAGAAAUCAACCGAGAUUCCCUUAGUAGUGGCGAGCGAACGGGGACCAGCCCUUAAGUUGUAUUGAGAUUAGCGGAACGUUCUGGAAAGGACGGCCAUAGUGGGUGAUAGCCCUGUACGCGAAAAUCCCUUUGCAAUGAAAUCGAGUAGGACGGGGCACGAGAAACCUUGUCUGAAUAUGGGGGGACCAUCCUCCAAGGCUAAAUACUACUGACUGACCGAUAGUGAACCAGUACCGUGAGGGAAAGGCGAAAAGAACCGCGGAGAGCGGAGUGAAAUAGAUCCUGAAACCGUAUGCGUACAAGCAGUGGGAGCCCACUUUGUUGGGUGACUGCGUACCUUUUGUAUAAUGGGUCAGCGACUUAUUUUCAGUGGCGAGCUUAACCGAAUAGGGGAGGCGUAGCGAAAGCGAGUCUUAAUAGGGCGUCUAGUCGCUGGGAAUAGACCCGAAACCGGGCGAUCUAUCCAUGGGCAGGUUGAAGGUUGGGUAACACUAACUGGAGGACCGAACCGACUACCGUUGAAAAGUUAGCGGAUGACCUGUGGAUCGGAGUGAAAGGCUAAUCAAGCUCGGAGAUAGCUGGUUCUCCUCGAAAGCUAUUUAGGUAGCGCCUCAUGUAUCACUGUAGGGGGUAGAGCACUGUUUCGGCUAGGGGGUCAUCCCGACUUACCAAACCGAUGCAAACUCCGAAUACCUACAAGUGCCGAGCAUGGGAGACACACGGCGGGUGCUAACGUCCGUCGUGAAAAGGGAAACAACCCAGACCGUCAGCUAAGGUCCCAAAGUCAUGGUUAAGUGGGAAACGAUGUGGGAAGGCUUAGACAGCUAGGAGGUUGGCUUAGAAGCAGCCACCCUUUAAAGAAAGCGUAAUAGCUCACUAGUCGAGUCGGCCUGCGCGGAAGAUGUAACGGGGCUCAAACCAUGCACCGAAGCUACGGGUAUCAUCUUUUGAUGAUGCGGUAGAGGAGCGUUCUGUAAGCCUGUGAAGGUGAGUUGAGAAGCUUGCUGGAGGUAUCAGAAGUGCGAAUGCUGACAUGAGUAACGACAAUGGGUGUGAAAAACACCCACGCCGAAAGACCAAGGUUUCCUGCGCAACGUUAAUCGACGCAGGGUUAGUCGGUCCCUAAGGCGAGGCUGAAAAGCGUAGUCGAUGGAAAACAGGUUAAUAUUCCUGUACUUCUGGUUAUUGCGAUGGAGGGACGGAGAAGGCUAGGCCAGCCUGGCGUUGGUUGUCCAGGUUUAAGGUGGUAGGCUGAGAUCUUAGGUAAAUCCGGGAUCUUAAGGCCGAGAGCUGAUGACGAGUGUUCUUUAGAACACGAAGUGGUUGAUGCCAUGCUUCCAAGAAAAGCUUCUAAGCUUCAGGUAACCAGGAACCGUACCCCAAACCGACACAGGUGGUUGGGUAGAGAAUACCAAGGCGCUUGAGAGAACUCGGGUGAAGGAACUAGGCAAAAUGGCACCGUAACUUCGGGAGAAGGUGCGCCGGUGAGGGUGAAGCAUUUACUGCGUAAGCUCAUGCCGGUCGAAGAUACCAGGCCGCUGCGACUGUUUAUUAAAAACACAGCACUCUGCAAACACGAAAGUGGACGUAUAGGGUGUGACGCCUGCCCGGUGCCGGAAGGUUAAUUGAUGGGGUUAGCGCAAGCGAAGCUCUUGAUCGAAGCCCCGGUAAACGGCGGCCGUAACUAUAACGGUCCUAAGGUAGCGAAAUUCCUUGUCGGGUAAGUUCCGACCUGCACGAAUGGCGUAACGAUGGCGGCGCUGUCUCCACCCGAGACUCAGUGAAAUUGAAAUCGCUGUGAAGAUGCAGUGUAUCCGCGGCUAGACGGAAAGACCCCGUGAACCUUUACUAUAGCUUUGCACUGGACUUUGAAUUUGCUUGUGUAGGAUAGGUGGGAGGCUUUGAAGCGUGGACGCCAGUCUGCGUGGAGCCAACCUUGAAAUACCACCCUGGCAACUUUGAGGUUCUAACUCAGGUCCGUUAUCCGGAUCGAGGACAGUGUAUGGUGGGUAGUUUGACUGGGGCGGUCUCCUCCUAAAGAGUAACGGAGGAGUACGAAGGUGCGCUCAGACCGGUCGGAAAUCGGUCGUAGAGUAUAAAGGCAAAAGCGCGCUUGACUGCGAGACAGACACGUCGAGCAGGUACGAAAGUAGGUCUUAGUGAUCCGGUGGUUCUGUAUGGAAGGGCCAUCGCUCAACGGAUAAAAGGUACUCCGGGGAUAACAGGCUGAUACCGCCCAAGAGUUCAUAUCGACGGCGGUGUUUGGCACCUCGAUGUCGGCUCAUCACAUCCUGGGGCUGAAGCCGGUCCCAAGGGUAUGGCUGUUCGCCAUUUAAAGUGGUACGCGAGCUGGGUUUAGAACGUCGUGAGACAGUUCGGUCCCUAUCUGCCGUGGACGUUUGAGAUUUGAGAGGGGCUGCUCCUAGUACGAGAGGACCGGAGUGGACGAACCUCUGGUGUUCCGGUUGUCACGCCAGUGGCAUUGCCGGGUAGCUAUGUUCGGAAAAGAUAACCGCUGAAAGCAUCUAAGCGGGAAACUUGCCUCAAGAUGAGAUCUCACUGGAACCUUGAGUUCCCUAAAGGGCCGUCGAAGACUACGACGUUGAUAGGUUGGGUGUGUAAGCGCUGUGAGGCGUUGAGCUAACCAAUACUAAUUGCCCGUGAGGCUUGACCAUAUAACACCCAAGCAAUU
rnacentral:rRNA from 3 species